GGUGGCACAGUGGUUAAGUGCUUGGCUGCUAACCAAGAAAGGUCGGUGGUUCAAACCCACCAGCACCU
rnacentral:tRNA from 1 species